AGAUUACUUUGAGAAAGCAACUUAUAAUUUAAAUUUAUGUAAAACAUUAUUACCACAAAAGCUAAGUAUUAGUUAUAGAAAAGCCUUAAUAAAUGAUAGUAAAACAGUACUGUAAAGGAAAGUUGAAAAAGUGAAAAUUUAAUCUUUAACAAGAAGAUAUUAAUAAUCGUACCUUGUGUAUCAGGGGAUAGCAAAAUAGCCUUUAAUUAAAGGUAUCCCGAAAACAAAGGAGCUAAUUUAAAGAGAUCGUUAUUGUAGCAAAAAUAUGAUAAACAUUAAAUUAGGUGUAAAACAUAAGCCGUCUUUGUUGUUAUCUGGUUCCCCAAGAAGGAAAUUUAAUUUCAUCUUUAUUUGCAAUUAAUGGCAUUAACUCAUUAGUUGUAAAUUUAGCAUAACUUUUAGAGGGACGAGCUUCUAAAAGAAAAACUAUAAAUAAUUACAAAAACAAUUAUUCUCUAGGCCUAGAAACAGCCCUGGGUGAUUAUACGUUAUAGUUAAAAAAUGAUGUAAAUAUUUACAUAAUUUUAGAUUUUUAUUGGGGGAAGUAGAGAAACUAUCUUUCUACCAACAAUAUGCUGUCAUGAGUAGAAUUAUAUGUUAAUAAAGAAAAUUGAAUUUUAAUACUUUAUUAAAGACUAAAGAUGUAUAAAAGGAAUUAGGCAACAUAUUUUCCGACUGUUUAUCAAAAACAUUUCCUCAAGAAAUUAUUUGAGGUAAGACCUGCCCGAUGUAAUUAUCAAUGGCCGCGGUAUUCUGACCGUGCGAAGGUAGCAUAAUCAUUAGUCUCUUAAUUAGAGGCUGGUAUGAAUGGUUAAACGAGAAAAUAACUGUCUCUUAUACAAAGUUUGAAUUUCAUUUUUAAGUGAAAAAGCUUAAAUAAACCUGAAGGACGAUAAGACCCUAUAGAGCUUUACUUCAUUAAAAUACAAACAACCUAGAAAUUAAUAUUAUUAUUUGAUAGAAGUUACGUUGGGGCGACGACAAGACAAUAAAUAACUCUUUAUUUUUUAAACAACUAAAAUUGAAAAAUUGAUCCUUAAAGCGAGAUCAAAUGAACAAGUUACCUUAGGGAUAACAGCGUAAUCCUUUUUAAGAGUUCUCAUCAACAAAAGGGUUUGCGACCUCGAUGUUGGAUUAAGAGUUCACCAAGGUGCAGCAGCUUUGGAAGACGGUCUGUUCGACCAUUAAUCUCUUACAUGAUCUGAGUUCAGACCGGCGCGAGCCAGGUUGGUUUCUAUCCUCAGAAUUAAAAGUAGUAUUUUAGUACGAAAGGACCAAACACUAAAGAUAAAUCUUAACCACAGACAGCCAUUAACAUCGCGAUACUAAUCUGGCAGAUAAUAUGUGAU
rnacentral:rRNA from 1 species